rnacentral:rRNA from 1 species
UGGCGGACGGGUGAGUAACACGUUGGUGACCUGUCCUAGAGAGGGGGACAACCAUUGGAAACGAUGGCUAAAACCCCGGACGUCGAUUAUGUUAGAGGUAAUUGACUGAAACCUUGGUGCUCUAGGGUGGGCCAGCGGGCUACCAGCUAGUUGGUAAGGUAAAGGCUUACCAAGGCAAAGACGGCUAGGGGGCGUGAGAGCGUGGCCCCCCACAAUGGGACUGAGACACGGCCCAUACUCCUACGGGAGGCAGCAGUGAGGAAUAUUGCACAAUGGGGGCAACCCUGAUGCAGCAAUGCCGCGUGAGUGAAGAAGGCUUUCGAGUUGUAAAGCUCUUUUCUAGGUGAAGAGAGAGGACGGUAGCCUAGGAAUAAGUCCCGGCUAACUACGUGCCAGCAGCCGCGGUAAU